AUUGAACGCUGGCGGAAUGCUUUACACAUGCAAGUCGAACGGCAGCACGGACUUCGGUCUGGUGGCGAGUGGCGAACGGGUGAGUAACAUAUCGGAACGUAUCCAAUAAUGGGGGAUAACUAAUCGAAAGGUUGGCUAAUACCGCAUACGCCCUGAGGGGGAAAGCUAGGGAUCUUCGGACCUGGCGUUAAUGGAGCGGCCGACGUCUGAUUAGCUAGUUGGUGAGGUAAUGGCUCACCAAGGGCGACGAUCAGUAGCGGGUCUGAGAGGAUGAUCCGCCACACUGGGACUGGAGACACGGCCCAGACUCCUACGGGUGGCAG
rnacentral:rRNA from 1 species